rnacentral:lncRNA from 1 species
GACAGCUAUGGGAGCUGCAUAAAGCUGCUCAAGGGACAUCCUGAGCAGUUACUUUGCCUGGGGUGGCCACCGUCCCUUUCACAGCCUCAUGGCAAACCGGGAAGUCUUGCUAAAAGAAUGAUCCAGGACUACAUCCCUCUAAUUGCUUGGCUGAGUGUGAUCCCAUGGAUUGAACCCCCAACAGUGGCUGGAGAUCACAAGGUGAACUUCUAUCACAUAUAAGAUUAAUUUAAUCUGAAAGGAAUCCAGAGGGUGUGCUCUAAAACCAUUCUGCAAAGUGAAGCAAACAGAUCAGGAGAUCUACUUCAAAAGUAUACUCUCGAUCUGAAUCAAAACACUGGUGUAAACACACCUUCUGUCUUUGUAGACUAAACCUACCACAACUGUAUAGAUACAGAGAAACCAAAAUUACUCUUGCCAUACUCUGAAUGGGUCAAAUGUGACCCAGCUGUGUCAUGGGGGUAGAGUGCUGUGAUCUGGCUAGUAUUCUCUAAGAACAGCUUAAACCUCUACAUUUUUACGUAGUCUUGUUCCCAGUCUCCUUUCCUAAUAUAAAAGCUAUUCCCCAUAUCAAACUGGGAGUGAUUUUCCUGGCCUGCACCAGUUUGAAUAUGUCUUUUUGGAACAGGGAGAAACAGAACUGGAUGUGUAACUCCAGCAGAGGCCAGUGUUUGGAGCUCAUCAUUUAGAUUCUGCAAAUGCUCAUAGACAUCACUACAUCAGUUACAGGCAGUUCCCAUUUCAAGGCUAUUUCAGCAAUUGUAUCAGAUAGAAAUUUAGCCAUCAGCUACAAAUAAGACAGGCAGACACUGCAGACCUAGAAUAAAAGAAUUAUAGUGUUCUGUACCA